rnacentral:rRNA from 1 species
UACGGGGGGAGCAAGCGUUGUUCGGAUUUACUGGGCGUAAAGGGCGGGUAGGCGGCACUGCAAGUCGACUGUGAAAUCUCCGAGCUUAACUCGGAAAGGUCAGCCGAUACUGCGGGGCUAGAGUGCAGAAGGGGCAACUGGAAUUCUCGGUGUAGCGGUGAAAUGCGUAGAUAUCGAGAGGAACACCUGCGGCGAAGGCGGGUUGCUGGGCUGACACUGACGCUGAACUGCGAAAGCUAGGGGAGCGAACGGG